CCGACGGUGAGGGAUGAAAGCUGGGGGCACGAACCGGAUUAGAUACCCGGGUAGUCCCAGCCGUAAACGAUGCUCGCUAGGUGUCAGGCAUGGCGCGACCGUGUCUGGUGCCGCAGGGAAGCCGUGAAGCGAGCCACCUGGGAAGUACGGCCGCAAGGCUGAAACUUAAAGGAAUUGGCGGGGGAGCACAACAACGGGUGGAGCCUGCGGUUUAAUUGGACUCAACGCCGGACAACUCACCGGGGGCGACAGCAAUAUGUAGGCCAAGCUGAAGACUUUGCCUGAAUCGCUGAGAGGAGGUGCAUGGCCAUCGCCAGUUCGUACUG
rnacentral:rRNA from 1 species